AUCAUAGGCUAAUGAGCCAGUUUCUCCAGGAAAAAAAUGAACUCAGAAAACAUUAAGACAUUUUUGCGGAGCAACCAUUAGUGAAAAAAAGACAAGAAAACACACCCUUUUAAUCAGCUAAAUUUGAUUUACAGGAAGAGGCAAAAUAAAUAUGGGGAAUGAUAACAGAAACAUGAAUCAAGAAACAUCUGAAAUGAAGUCGAGAAUACCAAGAGGCCAUAAAAUGGAGCCAGAAGACCACUGGGAAGGAUUCAAUGACUUUUGUAAAGAAUGAAAAGGAUGCUAAGAAGCUGCUGUUAGAACUUUAAAAGAUGCAAUGCAAAAUGUUACUGAAGUCAUUCAAGAAUAUUUCAGAAGAAAAUUAUUCCAAGGCCAAGCAAAUUAUUAUGAUUAUGAUGCAAGUAAAUGAUGGUGUGAAGUAAUUAUUAUCAGUGACAAAAAAUGAAAAGAAACCAGACUUUUGACAAAGAAACCAGUAAAUUAUUUAUUAUUUAUUUAUUUAUUUAUUUAAUAUGAAAUUUAUUGCCAAAUUGGUUUCCAUACAACACCAAGUGCUCAUCCCAACAGGUGCCCUCCUUAAUGCCCAUCACCCACUCUCCCCUCCCUCCUACCCCUCAUCAACCCUUAGUUUAUUCUCAGUUUUUAAGAGUCUCUUAUGGUUUGGCUCCCUCCCUUUUUUUUUUCCCUUCCCCUCUCCCAUGAUCUUAUGUUAAAUUUCUCAGGAUCCACAUAAGAAUGAAACCAGAUGGAACUGGAAAGUGUUAUGCUAAGUGAAAUAAAUCAUACAGAGAAACCAGUAAAUAAUUUAAAAGAAAAAAAAAAAAAAGCCAAGAUGGAACUUGAGCCCAAAUCAGUGCACAUUCCAAAUUCUCCAUGAAAGCCUUCUGAAAAAGAUAGUGUAGUUCCUCCUGAACUCCAGAAUAUACCUGCUGACCCCAAAAUGAAAACAUUAAGUGAAAUUAAAAAAAAAACCAGCCUCAUAGCCCUCAUGGUAGUAGGGAAUGAUGCAGAGUAAUUAUAUGAAGAAGAAAAGUUUUACAGUCCUCCAUGUCUGAGGAUGGUGAUAUGUUAGUAGUAAUGGCUUCUUCAUUGGGAAAGUCAUUUUUCGUUAUAAAAGAAGAGAGUGGUUACCCUUCUUCAAUUAAGGAGCAAAAAGGCCCCAAGGAGUGUUACCUGAAAAAGAUACCCUUGAAACCUAUUGGGUUAUAAGAAAUGGCAACAACUCUUCAUGUCAGGAGGUUUGAAUCCAUGCUUUCCCAUUCUUUCUCUGGAUCCAGAAGCUCUAGGAAAAAUGACAGUGAACAACUGUUUCUGAAAAGCAAACCACUUUUUCCUCAAAAUGAACCUUAGAUCAAGAAUCUGUUUCUUUAAGAUCAUAAAGCAGUUAUAACUCCCCCUUCCUUGUUUAUGGGAAGCAAGCAAGAGGUGGAAGGAAUAGCCAUUCAACAUUGUUGUGUUAGGGGAAGAAUGUGCAUGUGAUGAUUGAUUAGUAAACUCUUUGUGAACAUUUCUGUCUAAAAUUACUUUUCUUUCUCUUUUUUUUUUUUCACUAGUCUAUUAUUUAAAUGUAUAUUUGACUGUCUUUGGUCUGGUUAUAAAAAUGUUUGUUUUAGUCUCUGUUUUUCCCUUUAAAGUAUAUUCAGGUUAUGUUUACAUAAGGCUUUCACAAACCAAGUAUAUAUUUAAAUUCAUUUGUAAUAUGCUGCAGAAUAUUUCCUCUAUGAAAUAAUUUGGAGUUUAUAAUUAUCUUAUGUUUCUCAUCUGUGCUUACCAUGAAAUGCAUUUCACUGGAUCAGCUCUGUUUUUGCUUGGAAAUAAAUGUCAAGAUAUAUUUAAAAUGAUAAUAGAAUAUUAUAAGGAAAUUGUAGCAAUUAAAAAUAGAUCACCUUUAUUAAAAGUUGUUAUUGUUAGCAAAA